GCCCGAGUGGCGGAACUGGCAGACGCGCACGACUCAAAAUCGUGUGAGGAAACUCAUGUGGGUUCGACUCCCACCUCGGGCA
rnacentral:tRNA from 1 species